rnacentral:rRNA from 1 species
AGCGAAUGCUGGCGGCAGGCCUAACACAUGCAAGUCGAACGAACCCUUCGGGGUUAGUGGCGGACGGGUGAGUAACACGUGGGAACGUGCCUUUAGGUUCGGAAUAACUCAGGGAAACUUGUGCUAAUACCGAAUGUGCCCUUCGGGGGAAAGAUUUAUCGCCUUUAGAGCGGCCCGCGUCUGAUUAGCUAGUUGGUGAGGUAAUGGCUCACCACGGCUACGAUCAGUAGCUGGUCUGAGAGGAUGACCAGCCACAUUGGGACUGAGACACGGCCCAAACUCCUACGGGAGGCAGCAGUGGGGAAUCUUGCGCAAUGGGCGAAAGCCUGACGCAGCCAUGCCGCGUGGAUGAUGAAGGUCUUAGGAUUGUAAAAUCCUUUCACCGGUGAAGAUAAUGACUGUAGCCGGAGAAGAAGCCCCGGCUAACUUCGUGCCAGCCGCCGCCGUAAUAC